GAUGAACGCUGGCGGCGUGCCUAAUACAUGCAAGUCGAGCGAACAGACGAGGAGCUUGCUCCUCUGACGUUAGCGGCGGACGGGUGAGUAACACGUGGAUAACCUACCUAUAAGACGGGGAUAACUUCGGGAAACCGGAGCUAAUACCGGAUAAUAUAUUGAACCGCAGGGUUCAAUAGUGAAAGACGGUUUUGCUGUAACUUAUAAAUGGAUCCGCGCCGCAUUAGCUAGUUGGUAAGGUAACGGCUUACCAAGGCAACGAUGCGUAGCCGACCUGAGAGGGUGAUCGGCCACACUGGAACUGAGACACGGUCCAGACUCCUACGGGAGGCAGCAGUAGGGAAUCUUCCGCAAUGGGCGAAAGCCUGACGGAGCAACGCCGCGUGAGUGAUGAAGGUCUUCGGAUCGUAAAACUCUGUUAUUAGGGAAGAACAAAUGUGUAAGUAACUAUGCACGUCUUGACGGUACCUAAUCAGAAAGCCACGGCUAACUACGUG
rnacentral:rRNA from 1 species